rnacentral:piRNA from 1 species
UGCUCUGUCGAGGGGAGAGGAGAUGC